UAAAAAACACAGCGCAUUCUGUAUACACUCUUCUCUACCUCACUCUGUUCCUGUAACAACAUCUUGGAAAUCAUUUCAAAAUCAGUUCGCAAGGAGCGUCCUCAUUCUACCUUACAGCUGCCCAGUUUUCCAUUGUUUGGACCAUAACUGAGUGAAUCAAGGCCUUAUUAAUCGACAUUUAGGGUUUUUCACUCUUUUACCAUUACAAACAACGCCUCGAGGAAUAACGGUGGGCUAUGUCGUUUUACACAUCUGACAGAAUCACAUACGCUUUUGACUCUCACUGAAUGGAUUUGAACCGGAUGAGUCGAGGCAAAUCUGGUUUCAUGUGGCAGUGAGUAGGAAGCUAGCCUGUUCAGUGUUUUCCCAAGGAAAACAGAAUCCACCUGCCCGGGGAAACUCUCCUAAGGUGACUCGCCUGUUGUCGGGAUGACUGAGUUUAAGCGCUCAGAGCCAGCCGCGCUCUGACCACCUGGAACAGAACAAGAGUUCAGGACCUGGUCUGUCUUCGUUACCUCUGUAUUCCUGGAGCCUGGAAGAGAGGCACGGAGCUGGUACCCAAUAAAUAUCUGUUGAAUGGUGAAGGAGUAAAUUUGUUUCUGGCUGCUUCAGAUUCUUUUUGGUGCUACAAGAAAGCAGACGCCCCCCUGCAUUUGGUCAUUCGCUCGACCGACCCACAUGGAUGGAAUCACUGUGUGUGCACAGCGCUGCGGGGGAGUCACCAAACGGACAAGAUGCUCCAAGGAGGACCGAGGGAAGGAAAGAGGAGAAAAGCUGCAGAACUCGCCGCAUUUCCAUUUCCAGCCUGUGCCUUAGGCAAACUCCUUUUCCGCUUCCCAACAGUAGCCGUUUCCCUCCACCAGGGGGUGUCCAGGGAUAGAGAGAAAAGACAAGGUGGGGGAGGCAGCUUCGCAAACUCCUCGGCAACCGCCUUCCCUCCCAAGGGCCGGGAUGACGACGGAGGAAGCUUCUAGGUGCCCCGUCGUGACCUGGAUCAGCGCUGUGGAGUCAGGACACUGCAUCUCUGAGCUCUGGGACUUCAGUCUCCGUGAGCUCAGUACCUUCCCACCGCCACCCGAGGCCGGGUCACCUUCUUCUCCAGCCCAGACCUCUGCAGGUGCCUCCUGAAGGGACUCCUUGCUUCUGCUCUUAGGCCUCUACAACCCCUUCCCCUCACAGCCCGAGGGAUCUCUUUAAAAGUCGAUAAAUCACCUACCACCAUUCCCUAGCUCAAAGCUGUCCAAUGGCUUCUCAUCGGACUCAGAAUAAAGUUCAAGCUCCUCACGCCUCACAAGACCUCACCUGUGACCCCCUCUCCAUUCUCAUGGCCUUCCUGCUCAUUUCUUCCUUGGGGUCUUC
rnacentral:lncRNA from 1 species